rnacentral:rRNA from 1 species
CAGCCGCCGCGGGAAUACGAAGGGGGCUAGCGUUGCUCGGAAUGACUGGGCGUAAAGGGCGCGUAGGCGGCGGCCAAAGUCAGGCGUGAAAUUCCCGGGCUCAACCUGGGGGCUGCGUUUGAUACUUGGUUGCUUGAGUGGGGGAGAGGGUUGUGGAAUUCCCAGUGUAGAGGUGAAAUUCGUAGAUAUUGGGAAGAACACCGGUGGCGAAGGCGGCAACCUGGUCCUUGACUGACGCUGAGGCGCGAAAGCGUGGGGAGCAAACAGGAUUAGAUACCCGCGUAGUCCCUGUCUCUUAUAC